UACGUAGGGUGCGAGCGUUGUCCGGAAUUAUUGGGCGUAAAGGGCUCGUAGGCGGUUUGUCGCGUCGGGAGUGAAAACCAGGUGCUUAACACCUGGCUUGCUUUCGAUACGGGCAGACUAGAGGUAUUCAGGGGAGAACGGAAUUCCGGUGUGAGCGGUGAAAUGACGCAGAUAUCAGGAGGAACACCGGUGGCGAAGGCGGUUCUCUGGGAAUGACCUGACGCUGAGGAGCGAAAGUGUGGGGAGCGAACAGG
rnacentral:rRNA from 1 species